GGAGGACGUGACCAUGGACACAAGUGAAAACAGACCUGAAAAUGAGGUUCCUGAGCCUCCUGUGCCUAUUGCAGACCAAGUCAGCAAUGAUGACCGCCCAGAAGGCAGUGCUGAAGAAGAGGAGAGGAAAGAGGUAACUAGCCGAGCCACCUGUUGGGGAGGGUGGGCAGAGUGUGGGCCUAGGGAGAAUAGAUCCCUCUUACACAGUGGGAUGACUUAAAGGGGACAAGGCAGGGCCUUGGAUCAGGAUAGGGCAAGGGAGAAUUCGCUGGUUUAGCAAGGGAUACCUCUUGUGAUAGGGACAAGGUCUUAGGUUUCCUUCCCUACAUGAGAAGUAGUAUUACGUACCAGGCUUCUAGUUUGGAAGUCUGUUGAUGGCUCUUUUUUUAAAAACCCAAGUGCAGCUAGCUUUCUGUGAAGCUAACUCCUUGAGCUUUCCCUCCUUUUUAAAAGCUUGAUGGCACUCAACGCCACCUAGUGGGGCUUUGGGUCUCUUACCAAGUCAGCCAUGCUCAGGAAUUUUUGUUGCUCUUCUGCCCCCCAGUGGUCUAAUUACAGAAAUGUAGCUUCUUCACCCAGGGCCUGAACC
rnacentral:lncRNA from 1 species